UCGGCUGGCCUGUACAAGACUGACGUGUGUCGAAUAGAGGAUGCCCACAUAGGUUUACCAUGAGGACGCUCAGGGUUACCUGACGCAGACCAGGCGGAACCAAUCCCAAGGCGUCGUGUGGCUCUAGUAGAACAUCUCACCAGGCCCUCGUACGGUUCGCAUCUGGACCAUCCGAGCCUAACUACCCCUUGGCAGCUCCGGCUAUAAAUGCAAGGCACCCCCCACAAGUUUUCUGAACAACGACGGUAAAGUCGUUCAGAUUAAGAAAGCGGACUCUGGUUGACAUAGGGCAGGAUGUAAUGCAACCUUGGGCCCUUGGCAGUUAGUCAUCGACUCAUCGCCGACUUGAUCAGUCAUUAAGCGCUUGUCUCCAUAGACGGUAAUUUUCAAUUUAACUUCACUACUUCAGCAGUAUUUAUUUCCAUGUAGAAGGGGCAGAAAUCAAAAAAUUUUGCUGCAAAGAGGAUUGAAGACCACAGAACAAUUUGUCGCUUGUUUUGUGAAUGGUUGUCCAAUGUUCAAAGUCUUCCCUGUGUUGUGUAUUAAGAAACUAGCCAGUGCUUGGGUGUCUGCACUACAUAUUCAAUUCCACUUUUUCUGGUCAUGCACUUUGAAUCAUUACACUGCUUCAAGAUAUUUGCAAUAAGAAGGAUUGCAGUAGUUACUAAAGACUAUAUCAAAUGUUUUUUAUUCCUGAUGAGAUGAUAACAAUCCCAUUUCAGCCACAACUACAAAAGCAGAAAAUAAAGAAGGGCAGGCUGGGAAAAUGGUGGGAAGGAUAAAAA